rnacentral:lncRNA from 1 species
ACAGAAAUGCCAUUUGAAAACAUUCUUACUACUUCAGAGCUUUCUUCACCGGGAAGCAUCGGGGUGCUCGGGAUGAUUUAAGCUUUCUGAAUGUUUCCAUUUCUUGUCAUCAUCUGCAGGACACAGCGAUCCCCGUCUCGUUUGUACGAAGGACACGAGGCAAAACAUGAUGGAAAGGAAAUCAUCUAAGGGCAAGGAUUUCUCCACCUACUUCCACCUUAUUCUUGCUUUCUCUGAAGCAGAUAACUCAACUCAGCUGCCGUUCCAGCCUUCAGCUCUUACAAAGAACAGACUCAAAUGAAUUUCCACUUCACUGUCAACUUUGCCUGUGUCUAGAGAAAAACUUUCAGUCUCUGGUCCUGGAUGCAGGGACCUGCAAAGACAGAUGAGCAAAUUCAUUUUAAGGAGGUGUAAAUGCCCAAGAAGACAGGUUGGCACUUCAAUAGAAAAAUUUUGAAAGUGAAGAAGAAUUUGAAACCCCCUGAUUGAGAAGAUACACUCUGAUAUGCUGUGCUAAAAAUUUUCUGUCAAGCUGCCUCAACCUAGGAAUAGGACCAACUGGGUUGCAAUUGGCAUCACUUCAGACAAAUACGUCAUCAGUAAUGGCUUUUGAAGCUUCUGCCUCUCUUGGAAGGAAAACUCUAUCGUGUGUAGACUUGAAAGCAUGGAUUUUCACGAGCUGUGCCAAGUUCCUGCAGGAGGUUUCCCAUCAGAGGGAACGUUGGGAGACUUGGCCAACAAAUCCCAUCUCCCAGCCCCGCUGCCGUGUCGGAUGGUACCUGUGUCGCUGCUGGAGCCUCCUCAGUCUGUGAGUACCAGCAGCACAACCUCAUCCAGGGUACUUCAGGUACCGCGACAGGACGUUGCUGAAACCCUUCACAGCUGUGGGUGCCCCAGCUCUUGCAUCCUGUGUUGCAGCAGAGCCUCUGUGCAGAUGGGACACCCAGAGAGCAUGUCCCCAGCGUCCUCCCGGGCUCUGGCUCCCACCUCGUGCUCUGUCUCCUGGUGAGAAGGUCACCAUCCUGUGCCCUCUGAAUACAGAUAGGAGCGAAUCAUGGAAACGUACUCAAUUUGUUGUAUUUCAUUAUUGUACACAGAUAUUUUUUUGCCUGAC